rnacentral:rRNA from 1 species
AGAGAGAGACAUGCGCGCAUAUCAAUAAGCGGAGGAAAAGAAACUAACAAGGAUUCCCCUAGUAACGGCGAGUGAAGCGGGAAGAGCUCAAAUUUGAAAUCUUAAAGGGUUUCCCUUUACGAAUUGUAGUUUAAAGAAGUGUUUUCUGUUGAGGUUUUGGUAAAAGUUCUUUGGAAUAGGAGCAUCAUAGAGGGUGAGAAUCCCGUAUUUGACCUUUACUUUCCAACUUUGUGAUACACUUUCAAAGAGUCGGAUUGUUUGGGAAUGCAGUCCAAAAUGGGUGGUAAAUUUCAUCUAAAGCUAAAUAUUGGCGAGAGACCGAUAGCGAACAAGUACCGUGAGGGAAAGAUGAAAAGAACUUUGAAAAGAGAGUUAAACAGUACGUGAAAUUGUCAAAAGGGAAGCGUUUGACACCAGUGUUGUUUUUCUGAAAAUCAAUUAAAGAACUGUUUAUGCUAAGCUGUUUAGACUUUAUCAGCUAACUGUUUAGUUUUGAGCUUUUCUUUAAUGCACUUUUCAGUUAACAAGUCAACAUCAAUUUCUUUUGCUGUAAAAAAGCUUGAGGAAGGUGGCUUGAGAUUCGUCUUAAGUGUUUAUAGCCUCUUGCCUAUGCAGUCGGAGAGAUUGAGGUCUGCAGCGUAGAUCCUUCGGGGCUAAAUGCAUUUGUGCUAAGUUAUAGCAUUUUAUAGACAACUUGUUGACUAUGAUUUGUCUUGUAGCUUACUCGCUUAUGUUAUUUUACCUACGCUUAGGAUGUUGAGCGCAUGUCUCUCUCU